UUCCAGGUUGCUAUGUUGGCAUUAUUGCAUAGAUGAGAGACCAUCCAUGAUUCAAACACAUCAUCGACUGACGUGGUUUCAGAUUUGGAGCAGGAAGGGAUUACCGUGAACACUUACCACCACAUCUUGGCAAUGGUAUGUAUGGAUGACCGACGUUUAGAUGUUCAAAGUUUUACAACGAUUUUGGAGCAUAUAGGGUGUGUAUGUUUACUUUUUCUUACAUGUGGCAACUCUUUGAUAUAGUUCUUUCUCUUUUUACACAUGCCUCUCUGUAUGUAUACACGCAACAGGGUCGCCAUGGGAACGUACCGCCACAAAACACAUAUAGACAAUGACUGACGUUCAGAUGAGCAGAUUUUAGAGCAUAUACGGUUAGUACAUGUAUGUCUACAUUUCCUUUUUAUGUGGCAACGCUUUAAUACCUUUGUUUUUGUUUUUACACAUGCCUUUCUGUAUUUAUACAUUCAACUUUAACAGGGUUACCAUUGAAAGGUACCUCAAUAUCUAGGCAAUGGUAUAUUGGAUGGGCAACGUUCAGAUGUACAAAGUCAUACAGCAGAUUUUAGAGCAUAUAAGAAUGCUGGGGUAUGUGUACUUGAAGAAAAAAAGACGCAGACGGACUUGGAGAUGCAGACCAAGCAAAAUGUGCGUUUAUCUUUAUGAUGAACAGGUAUAUUUAUUGCUACUUAUGUUAUCCUUUUUGUAUGCAUUUUUUCAACCUGGUGGCUGAUGUUUACAAGCACGUGUGAAUAUAUCAUGUUGUAGACAAUGCAAUGGUUCAGUGGAUGGUGUAGCUAUGGAACAUGAUAUUGACAACAAGCACGUGCGUGGAUGUCAUGUUGUAGAUUUCACAGUGGUUAAGUGCAUGCUGGCACUUGAUCCUUUUUCUAAGUAAUUCUGGAGCGUAGGAAUGUGCAUUCAACUUCUAGCUAUGGUGAAAGUAAAACUCGAAGUAUCGGACAAGAAACUCAAAACUAUUCGAUGAGAAACUCAGGCUAUCAGACGAGGAACCCGAACUAUCCAACAAGAAGCAGUUUCCUGUACCAUACACGAAGAAAAUAUAGUUCAUGGAACUACAGUUGUCGUAGAAUUGCCUUGCUGGUACUAAAAAAAUGCCGAUAACCAGAGGGGCACUGGUAGCCAAUCGAUGUCGCUCAUCAGAGUUGUUCUGGAACCCUUAUGUCAACAUAGUAAUCAACUGUUCUUGACAAGACGACACUUGCUGCUUCUACCAGAUGACGCCAAUGGCGGAAGAAGGGACCCGAUGACUGGAGUAACUUUGCAGUAUAAAAUUUUGGUUUAAAACUACAGGAAGACAGUGUUUUACAUUGCUGAAAGACAAAGAAAAAGAAUCGAUUCCAGAACGUGCCGUCCUGUGUUUGUUGUUUUCGACAGUUGAGGGGAGAGUCCGGUGCAUGCCAGAUACUAUC
rnacentral:lncRNA from 1 species